rnacentral:rRNA from 1 species
AGUGGCAGACGGGUGAGUAACAUGUGGGAAUCUGCCUUGUGGUUCAGGACAACAUUGGGAAACCGAUGCUAAUACUGGAUAAGCCCUUACGGGGAAAGUUUUAAUGCCAUAAGAUGAGCCCGCAUUUGAUUAGUUAGUUGGUGAGGUAAUGGCUCACCAAGACAAUGAUCAAUAGCUGAUCUGAGAGGAUGAUCAGCCACACUGGGACUGAGACACGGUCCAGACUCCUACGGGAGGCAGCAGUGGGGAAUCUUGCACAAUGGAGGAAACUCUGAUGCAGGAUGCCGCGUGAGUGAAGAAGGCCUUUGGGUUGUAAAGCUCUUUUGUAGGGGAAGAUAAUGACUGUACCCUAAGAAUAAGGUCCGGCUAACUUC